rnacentral:lncRNA from 1 species
CAGCUAGUGAGAAAGGAGUUUUUGGUCAGUUGGAGCUGUUCCACCAGGUAGCGUGAGUGUCUUCAGAGACGCUUAGCGGCCAUUUUGAUCCAAGACGCAGCAGAAAUGGGUUGUUGGUUGUGACGUUUCUCACGAUGAAAAUUAAAAGGUGAUUUAGCACGUAGAAACCAAUUUGCCAAAUCAUUCAACUCAGACUUGGGAAGUGCCUGUACAUUUCCGAAAUGGCGUGCCUCGUGUGUCUCGCUGCCUGUUCUUUGGCUUACGUCUCACCCCAUUCAACAGGAAAAAGUAAAACAAACGCUGGUGGUUACCUUGUUGCAGCCAAAUGGUGAAAGGUGUGACAAAGACAGAU